CCCCUCCCUCCUUUGGAAUGCGGGAGUUUCAUCUGCUCCAUCCCAGACGCCUUUGGGAGCAGGAGAAAGAUCCCCUCAGCUGUUUCUUGGCUGUCUCCUCUGCGUGGUGAAGGGAAAAGACCGACCAUGCCGCCGGCUCAGUGCCUGGUUUCCUUUGAAGAGGUGGCUGUGUAUUUCUCCAAGACAGAAUGGAACCUGUUGAGCCCAGCGCAGAGAGCCCUGUACAAGGAAGUCAUGCUGGAGAAUUUUGGGACCGUGGCCUCUCUGGGACCAGAGAUUGCGAAACCUGACCUAAUUUCCAGGAUGGAAGGAGAAGAAGAGCCCUUUCUCCUGAUCUUUGAUGC